UACGGGGGAUGCAAGCGUUAUCCGGAAUUAUUGGGCGUAAAGCGUCCGCAGGUGGCUAAUCAAGUCUGUUGUCAAAGCGCGGAGCUCAACUCCGUACAGGCGAUGGAAACUGGUUGGCUAGAGUUAGGUAGGGGUAAGAGGAAUUCCCAGUGUAGCGGUGAAAUGCGUAGAUAUUGGGAAGAACACCGGCGGCGAAAGCGUCUUACUGGGCCUAAACUGACACUGAGGGACGAAAGCUAGGGGAGCGAAAGGG
rnacentral:rRNA from 1 species